GCUGGAGGAGAGAACAGACGGCCGGGGUCACCAGUGGCCGGAGGCCGUCUCAGGCUCGGACGGGCCCAGGGCUGUCUGUGGUUUGGGGCAGUCGUCCUCAUCUUACAACAGUUCUUUGCUGCAGCUUGAUGGUGCCCAGCUCCGUGAUGUCCACCACGAUGACCUGCGGCCGCGUGGUGAAGAAGUCGGCGAUGUCGCAGGUCUGGCUGUCGUCAGACUCGAUCCUGCCCUUGAGCUUCCAGCGCUGGCGGCCCAGGCGCAUGAGCACCUGCGGGUGAGCGGGAGAGGG